rnacentral:lncRNA from 1 species
AAACCCUAAUCCAUAUCAAAAAUCAAGAAAAUCAUAUUUUUGACCCUCUCGCGGGCCGCGUAAAGCACAAGAGGACCCUUACGCGGGGCGUGUCAACUUGAGAGUUGACCGGAUAAGCAUCCGGGGCUACGUGUCACCCACGUGGCACACCUACUCGUGACCCAGCAAACCUAUACGUAGACUAGACCUCCUCGCGGGCCGCGUAAAGUUUGUCUUAGGGCUCACGCGGGCCGCGACAACCCCAGAAAUCACCUAUAAAUAGCUUGGAUCAGGAGCUUUCAUUCUGUGUCGAAAUCAAUUCACAAAAACGAAGUUAUACUGUUAGAAAUCACAAUUUCUAUUAGCGAGGCGCUGCUACGAUACCGGGUAUUAAUUCAAUCGCUGCUACGAUUCAAUAUCCGAUCGAUUGAAACUAUCCGAGGGAUGUUUAAGUUACAAGGCUAAUCAGUAGGCUAAACUCUGCCCGUUUAAACCUGCAAU